rnacentral:rRNA from 1 species
AGCUCCAAUAGCGUAUAUUAAAGUUGUUGCAGUUUAAAAGCUCGUAGUUGGAUUCCUGGUGGGAGGGAUCGGUCCUGCAUUCUUUGUAGGAACUUGUAUCCUCUCCGGCCAUCCUUGGGUGGAUCUUGUCUGGCAUUAAGUUGUCAGUCAGGGGAUGCCCAUCGUUUACUGUAAAAAAAUAGAGUGUCCAAAGCAGGCUUAUGUCAUUGAAUAUAUUAGCAUGGAAUAAUAAGAUAGGGCCCUGGUACUAUUUUGUUGGUUUGCGUACCGAGGUAAUGAUUAAUAGGAACAGUUGGGGGUAUUUGUAUUCAGUAUUCAGUGGUGAUAUACUUAGACCUACGGAAGACAAGCUACUGUGAAAGCAUUUACCAAGGAUGUUUUCA